rnacentral:rRNA from 1 species
GAUGAACGCUGGCGGCGUGCCUAAUACAUGCGAGUCGAGCGGACAGACCAUGAGCUUGCUCCUCUGACUUUAGCGGCGGACGGGUGAGUAACACGUGGAUAACCUACCUAUAAGACUGGGAUAACUUCGAGAAACCGGAGCUAAUACCGGAUAAUAUAUUGAACCGCAUGGUUCAAUAGUGAAAGACGGUUUUGCUGUCACUUAUAGAUGGGUCCGCGUCGCAUUAGCUAGUUGGUAAGGUAACGGCUUACCAAGGCAACGAUGCGUAGCCGAUCUGAGAGGGGGAUAAGGCACACUAGAACUGAGCCGAGGCACAGACUAAUACGGGACGCAGCGGAAGGGAAUCUUACGCAAUGGGCGAAAGCAUGACGUGAAACAGCCGAGUGGGUGAUAAAGGUCCUGCGCUAGUAAAACUAUGUUAUUAGGGAAGAACAAAUGUGUAAGUAACUAUGCACGUCUUGACGGUACCUAAUCAGAAAGCCACGGCUAACUACGUG